CCUACGGGAGGCAGCAGUGAGGAAUAUUGGUCAAUGGACGAGAGUCUGAACCAGCCAAGUAGCGUGAAGGAUGACUGCCCUAUGGGUUGUAAACUUCUUUUAUAUAGGAAUAAAAUGUUCCACGUGUGGGAUUUUGUAUGUACCAUAUGAAUAAGGAUCGGCUAACUCCGUGCCAGCAGCCGCGGUAAUACGGAGGAUCCGAGCGUUAUCCGGAUUUAUUGGGUUUAAAGGGAGCGUAGGUGGGUUGUUAAGUCAGUUGUGAAAGUUUGCGGCUCAACCGUAAAAUUGCAGUUGAAACUGGCAGUCUUGAGUACAGUAGAGGUGGGCGGAAUUCGUGGUGUAGAGGUGAAAUGCUUAGAUAUCACGAAGAACUCCGAUUGCGAAGGCAGUUCACUGGACUGCAACUGACACUGAGGCUCGAAAGUGUGGGUAUCAAACAGGAUUAGAUACCCUUGUAGUC
rnacentral:rRNA from 1 species